rnacentral:rRNA from 1 species
UCCCAGACUCCUACGGGAGGCAGCAGUGAGGAAUAUUGGUCAAUGGCCGAGAGGCUGAACCAGCCAAGUCGCGUGAGGGAGGACGGCCCUACGGGUUGUAAACCUCUUUUGUCAGGGAGCAAGGGACAGGUCGUGACCUGUUGUGAGAGUACCUGAAGAAAAAGCAUCGGCUAACUCCGUGCCAGCAGCCGCGGUAAUACGGAGGAUGCGAGCGUUAUCCGGAUUUAUUGGGUUUAAAGGGUGCGCAGGCGGAGGCACAAGUCAGCGGUAAAAUCGCGGGGCUCACCCCCGCUCCGCCGUUGAAACUGUGUCCCUUGAGUGCGCGAAGGGUAGGCGGAAUGCGUGGUGUAGCGGUGAAAUGCAUAGAUAUCACGCAGAACCCCGAUUGCGAAGGCAGCAUGCCGGCUUCCGACUGACGCUGAAGCACGAAAGCGUGGGGAUCGAACAGGAUUAGAUACCCUGGUAAU